CCUCUCGCCAUCAGAUGUGCCCAGAUGGGAUUAGCUAGUAGGUGAGGUAAUGGCUCACCUAGGCGACGAUCCCUAGCUGGUCUGAGAGGAUGACCAGCCACACUGGAACUGAGACACGGUCCAGACUCCUACGGGAGGCAGCAGUGGGGAAUAUUGCACAAUGGGCGCAAGCCUGAUGCAGCCAUGCCGCGUGUGUGAAGAAGGCCUUCGGGUUGUAAAGCACUUUCAGCGGGGAGGAAGGCGACAAGGUUAAUAACCUUGUCGAUUGACGUUACCCGCAGAAGAAGCACCGGCUAACUCCGUGCCAGCAGCCGCGGUAAUACGGAGGGUGCAAGCGUUAAUCGGAAUGACUGGGCGUAAAGCGCACGCAGGCGGUCUGUUAAGUUGGAUGUGAAAUCCCCGGGCUUAACCUGGGAACUGCAUUCAAAACUGACAGGCUAGAGUCUUGUAGAGGGGGGUAGAAUUCCAGGUGUAGCGGUGAAAUGCGUAGAGAUCUGGAGGAAUACCGGUGGCGAAGGCGGCCCCCUGGACAAAGACUGACGCUCAGGUGCGAAAGCGUGGGGAGCAAACAGGAUUAGAUACCCUGGUAGUCCACGCUGUAAACGAUGUCGACUUGGAGGUUGUGCCCUUGAGGCGUGGCUUCCGGAGCUAACGCGUUAAGUCGACCGCCUGGGGAGUACGGCCGCAAGGUUAAAACUCAAAUGAAUUGACGGGGGCCCGCACAAGCGGUGGAGCAUGUGGUUUAAUUCGAUGCAACGCGAAGAACCUUACCUACUCUUGACAUCCAGAGAAUUUGCUAGAGAUACCUUAGUGCCUUCGGGAACUGUGAGACAGGUGCUGCAUGGCUGUCGUCAGCUCGUGUUGUGAAAUGUUGGGUUAA
rnacentral:rRNA from 1 species